GUAGGUGAACCUGCGGAAGGAUCAUUACUGAGUUCAUGCCCUAACGGGUAGAUCUCCCACCCUUGAAUAUAUAAACCUUUGUUGCUUUGGCGGGCCGCUUCGGCUACCGGCUUCGGCUGGUGAGUGCCCGCCAGAGGACCCUAAACUCUGUUUAUACAUGUCGUCUGAGUACUAUAUAAUAGUUAAAACUUUCAACAACGGAUCU
rnacentral:misc_RNA from 1 species